UAACAGUUUAAUAUUUUGGGCAAUACCUCUUACUAUUUCUGAUCUUUGUUGAUUUUUUGAUGGCAGGAUAUUCAAUACGGAAGCUUAGCAGCUAUAGUAAUUGGUAUACGGUAUGUGAUCGAAGAUCCUACCAUCCCGAAACCAUGGAAAUCACUAAUAGAUGUUCAAAAUCCCCCAAGGACUCGACAUCUAGAAUUAUGAUGAUAUAUAAAAGUUCAAAUGGCAGAGCAUCAGGUUGUUCCUCGAGUAGGAACUUAUCAGGCAUCUCAAGUGAUUCUUUAAUAACUUUCUCUAUUCUCGUUUUUAUUAUGUCAGUGCAUGUAGUUAUGUACUCGUAUAUUUUCGCUAGUAUUUCUCAGUAAUUUUCUUUUGGUAUUCUUUCUCUUGGUGUUCUGCUUUAUGUAAGAAAAUUGGACUUAGUUUAUUUGAAAUUUCUCCUUUGUGUGUUACAUUGUCACAUGCAGUUUAUCUUAUUCGUAAAGAUGCAGAUGUGAGACUAGUGUUGGGCAGGGACCACGUGCUAUGCAAAUACAGGAUGAAGUUGUCAAAUUGUAAAAUUGAAAAGAUCGUCCAAGAUGAACUGGUGAGGGUUGAGGGGAUGAGAGGGAGAGAAAUAUAAAUGACGAUAACAUGGCUUGCGGAUGUUGGGGGUGAUACAUGAUAAUUGUUUAGGGCUUGGGUCUUUGUUAUAAGAUAUUUAUGGCUUGACAUUUGUAUUAGAUUUUUACCAAUAGAUAUAUUAGCAAACUUUUGAAAUAUCGCAACAGAGAUAAUGAUUGUCUUAAUAUACUUAUAUGAUCAUUUUAUUGGUUU